rnacentral:misc_RNA from 1 species
GAUGAAGAACGUAGCGAAAUGCGAUACGUAAUGUGAAUUGCAGAAUUCAGUGAAUCAUCGAAUCUUUGAACGCACAUUGCGCCCGCUAGUAUUCUGGCGGGCAUGCCUGUCCGAGCGUCAUUUCAACCCUCAAGCCCCCGGGCUUGGUGUUGGGGAUCGGCGAGCCUCCGCGCCCGCCGUCCCCUAAAUCUAGUGGCGGUCUCGCUGUAGCUUCCUCUGCGUAGUAGCACACCUCGCACUGGGAAACAGCGCGGCCACGCCGUUAAACCCCCAACUUCUGAACGUUUGACCUCGGAUCAGGUAGGAAUACCCGCUGAACUUAAGCAUAUAAUAAGCGGAGGA